GAUGAACGCUAGCGGGAGGCCUAACACAUGCAAGUCGAGCGCCCCCCCUUCGGGGGGGGAGCGGCGCACGGGUGAGUAACGCGUAUGCAACCUGCCCGGUACCGGGGGAUAGCCCGCUGAAAGGCGGAUUAACACCCCAUAAUACCUUUUGUCCGCAUGGAUUGAGGGUUAAAACCCCGGUGGUACCGGAUGGGCAUGCGUGGCAUUAGCUUGUUGGCGGGGUAACGGCCCACCAAGGCUACGAUGCCUAGGGGUUCUGAGAGGAAGGUCCCCCACACUGGUACUGAGACACGGACCAGACUCCUACGGGAGGCAGCAGUGAGGGAUAUUGGUCAAUGGGCGGAAGCCUGAACCAGCCAUCCCGCGUGCAGGAAGACGGCCCUAUGGGUUGUAAACUGCUUUUCCGGGCGAAGAACACCCCCGACGUGUCGGGGUCUGACGGUAGCCCGGGAAUAAGCACCGGCUAACUCCGUG
rnacentral:rRNA from 1 species